rnacentral:rRNA from 1 species
AUACGGAGGGUGCGAGCGUUAAUCGGAAUUACUGGGCGUAAAGCGUACGUAGGCGGUUUGCUAAGUCAGAUUUGAAAGCCCCGGGCUUAACCUGGGAACUGCAUUUGAUACUGGCAGACUAGAGUAUGAUAGAGGGGGGUAGAAUUCCUGGUGUAGCGGUGAAAUGCGUAGAUAUCAGGAGGAAUACCAGUGGCGAAGGCGGCCCCCUGGAUCAAUACUGACGCUGAGGUACGAAAGCGUGGGGAGCGAACAGGAUUAGAUACCCUAGUAGUCC